CGGAUGCUCCCUUCUUUUCUGGUCCAGCUACCUCCCACCUCGCCUUCCUUGACCUCAGGUGGGGUUUCCCUUCUGCAGAGCAGGGAUGGAGGCCGGGGUCCUCCCAGCAGAGAAGCCCUGUGUUCCUCCUCUCUUGCCUGAGCAGCCCCACCCCCAAGGCUGGCAGAGGCUGGCCCUGAAGCUCCUGAUCGUCUCCCUCCGGUCUGACUGCCUUACCUUUUUAGCCUAAAUCCCAGCCCCUCCUUUUAGGAACUGUCAUCAUGUUUAAUCCUGCCUGGGGGAGACCCCCUCCACCUUCCUAAAUGGAAGGUAUUCCAUUACAUGCUAAAGUGCAGUUUAAGUAGCUGUAAGGAAGUGUGACAGAAAGUCUGUCAGAGUGGGGCUGGACUUGCCAAAACUUGGUGUGAUGUGGGGACUCUGUCAACGUGCUCCUAGGGAAACCUGAGCUGAGCUGAGGCUGGGGCUGGCAGGAUGUUCAAGGUGAGCCCAGGACCUGCCACACUGUGCCAGCCUCGCCCAAGCCACCCCCCAGCCAGGACGCGGUCUUUCCUGACUCAGCAGGCUGAGGCACCUGAGGCUUUCAUUUUAAUUAUGAACCACUUCAAAGCCUUUCUGGAAGCAGUCUCUGCAAUAACCAACCUGGGUUCUCUCCUAAUGUGGGGAUUGUCCUGGAGCCCAGGCCUUCCAAGGCUCCUCCGCCCGCCAACAUCACCUACCUCAUCUUCCUCUUCAGCACAUCCCCAACAUUGUCUAAGCGGUAACUCACCUGAGCAAAGCACUUGACACGGAUUCAUUCAUUUACUCCUCACAACAACCUGAUGAGGUAGGUACUAUUAUGUCCAUUUUACAGGUGGCAAAAACAAGGCCUAGAGAGGUGAAGUAACUUAUCUGUCUAAGGUUACACAGGUUGGUAGUGGGCCCAAGGUUCAAAUUCCAGCAGUCAGGCUGGGCGCGGUGGCUCAUCCCUGUAAUCCUAGCACUUUGGGAAGCUGGGGCGGGUGGAUUGCCUGAGGCCAGGAUUUCAAGACCAGCCUGACCAAUAUGGCAAAACCCCAUCUCUACUAAAAAUGCAAAAAUUAGUCAGGCGCGGUGGCAGGUGCUGUGGUCCCAGCUACUUGGGAGGCUGAGACAGAAGAACUGCUUGAACCCAGGAGGCAGAGGUUGCAGUGAGCUGAGAUUGUGCCACUGCACUCUACCCUGGACGACAGAGCAAGACUCCA
rnacentral:lncRNA from 1 species